rnacentral:rRNA from 1 species
AACGCGAAGAACCUUACCAGGUCUUGACAUCCAACUAACGAGGCAGAGAUGCGUCAGGUGCCCUUCGGGGAAAGUUAAGACAGGUGGUGCAUGGUUGUCGUCAGCUCGUGUCGUGAGAUGUUGGGUUAAGUCCCGCAGCGAGCGCAACCCUUGCCAUUAGUUGCUACGCAAGAGCACUCUAAUGGGACUGCCGUUGAUAUAACGUAGGAAGGUGGGGACGACGUCAAAUCAUCAUGCCCCUUAUGACCUGGGCUACACACGUACUACAAUGGCCGUUAACAGAGGGAAGCAAUACAGCGAUGUGGAGCAAACCCCCAAAAACGGUCCCAGUUCGGAUUGCAGGCUGAAACUCGCCUGUAUGAAGGUGGAAUUGCUAGUAAUCGCGGAUCAGCAUGCCGCGGUGAAUACGUUCCCGGGUCUUGUACACACCG